UGUGGAUGGGCAACAGUUCACUUGUGUGUGGGCUCAGCAAACUUGUUGUCUCAGUUCUCAGUCUCCUUUAGUAGUUAGUCUUAUAAAAUACCAAAUUUCUUCUCAUUUUUAAGAUGAAGUGAACAAGCGUAUCAGUUCAACCUUGGUGAAAGGGAGAGAUAUAAUACGCCUUUACUAUGGCCUGGAUAAAGAAUCCCAUACAUGGGAAGACAUUAGUAGACAAUGUAGAGCUGAAGGCGAGUGGUGACCUCACCAAGGAUGUAGAGCUAAAGGGCGUGUUCUUAGCCAUUGGUUAGAGUGAGAGGCUACAGGGGCUAUUGAUGUCUAUUGGUUGAAAUUUAAGUUUGUUCAGCUGGAGUGCUGGAGUUUAAAGAAUUAGUAGAGGCUUCUAUUGUGGUUAUCAGAUGUCGAAGAGCAUCAAAGCAUGCCUGCCCUAUCGCCGGCUGGUCUCAUCUUCUGUUUUAUGGUUGUGAUUUGCUGAGGAGAUGUUGUAGCUACUCUCAGUCCCAAUUGAUGUACAGUUUUUCCUGUGACAU